GCCCAUUUGUGUGAUGUGGCAUUGGAAUGAAGAAACAUAGGGUGGACAUGGAGAUAGUUUUUGCCAUUUUGAAAUGUGACCUUGGAACCAAGACCAUCAUCAUAGUUCCCAGCUUUCCAAAAUUGACGACAAAGCGGAGCUGGACAUAUGGUUGACGCAAAAGAAAUGCCAGUGUCAUCUACUGGAGAUUGUCCUUGUUCCAAUACACUUGAGCUGCUUUGACCGGUACUUAAUGCAGUUGAGCUCCUAUUUUCUUCAAAUUCUUGUCUCCCAGAUUGGGUCAUGGAGUUUCUAUGCUCAUCCAAUCGGGCAUUUUGGGGAUUUUUCCCUUGCAACCCGCACCCAACAAAAUCUGACUCCAAUUUAAUGGCUUUCAUAUUCACCUUUCCAAGUCCAUUAUCACAAUAAUUCGAGAGGCAAGC
rnacentral:misc_RNA from 1 species